rnacentral:rRNA from 1 species
GCAGCAGGCACGCAAAUUACCCACUCCCGGCACGGGGAGGUAGUGACAAAAAAUAACGAUACGGGACUCUAUUGAGGCCCCGUAAUCGGAAUGAGUACACUUUAAAUCCUUUAACAAGGAUCCAUUGGAGGGCAAGUCUGGUGCCAGCAGCCGCGGUAAUUCCAGCUCCAAUAGCGUAUAUUAAAGUUGUUGCGGUUAAAAAGCUCGUAGUUGGUUCUGCGUGCCGCGCUGUCGGUUCGCCGCCUGUCGGUGUAACUGGCAUGUCGCGGCAUGUCCUGUCGGUGGUGAACGGAGUCCACAAUGCUACAUAGGCUUUACAGCCGAUGUUAGCGUCGUGUGUACUUCCGUUGGCCGAUCUCUCCUACUUCGGUGCUCUUAAACGAGUGUCGAGGUAGGCCGACACGUUCACUUUGAACAAAUUAGAGUGCUUAAAGCAGGCUGAAAUAUCUGCCUGAAUAGUGGUGCAUGGAAUGAUAAAACAGGACCUCGGUUCUAUUUUGUUGGUUUUAGGAAUAUGAGGUAAUGAUCAAUGUGGACUGGCGGGGGCAUUCGUAUUGCGACGUUAGAGGUGAAAUUCUUGGAUCGUCGCAAGACGCACUAGAGCGAAAGCAUUUGCCAAGUAUGUCUUAAUUGAUCAAGAACGAAAGUUAGAGGUUCGAAGGCGAUCAGAUACCGCCCUAGUUCUAACCAUAAACGAUGCCAGCCAGCGAUCCGCCGAUGUUCCUUUAAUGACUCGGCGGGGAGCUUCCACCCGGGAAACCAAAGCUUUUGGGUUCCGGGGGAAGUAUGGUUGCAAAGCUGAAACUUAAAGGAAUUGACGGAAGGGCACCACCAGGAGUGGAGCCUGCGGCUUAAUUUGACUCAACACGGGAAACCUCACCAGGCCAGGACAUUGGAAGGAUUGACAGAUUGAUAGCUCUUUCUUGAUUCAGUG